rnacentral:lncRNA from 1 species
UGCAACAAGUACAUAUGGGGCAGGGGCGUGUGCAUUUUCCCAGCGGUUUGGCUUGGCCGCUGCAGUUGGCCGCUGGGACAGUUGGGACCUCGUCUUGUGAACCAAAAUCACCAUUCUUGUCUCUAAACCAUCUCCAAAGGUUCCAAACUCACCAAAUAGCAUCUCCAUCACCUAAUAGAGACAAAUGUAUAUGCAAUGCAUCUAAAUCUACUCUAAAUGCAUCUAAAUGGACAAAUUGAGAACUAAAAUGAUUGCUAAAACUAUGCAAAUACAUAAGAUAUCAACUCCCCCAAACUAGAACUUUACUUGUCCACAAGUAAACUUUCAAGGUCAAUUAGAAGAAAAGUUUGAAAAUGGGAGCUCAUAACCAAAAGACACACUUUCUAACCUUCAAUGUAACAUCCCAAAGAAAACAUAGCAAAUAGCAUGAGCAUCUUCCUUAUUAUACUCUAGCUUCUCUAGGCCUAUCCAUACUCUUUUGCCUCUACUCAAGUUGCAAUACUCUUUACCAACAAGUUCCUUCAAUCAGCUCUCACAUUGAUUCACACACACACACACACAAGGUGAACUCUCACAAAUGGGCACAUGAUCUCAAUCAUUUGGCUAGGUAAGCAAUGGUCUAAUAUGAAUGAAGAGAUGGGUUCAAAUGUUUUCAUUUAAGGGUGGUUAUCACUCAAAACAAGGAGCUUGAUCAUUAUGCAAAAUUUAUCUAAGAUUAGAAGCAACUCAUGCAUACAUAGAUUCAUUCUCAUCAUUCUACCCCAUUCCUAAGUGAUUAUAAAUUCUACACCCAUUUCAUUCAUCCCAUAACCCAAAAUGAAAAACAUUCACAUCACUCACCCAAUGAACAACAUUCUUUU